rnacentral:rRNA from 1 species
AGAGUUUGAUCCUGGCUCAGAUUGAACGCUGGCGGCAGGCCUAACACAUGCAAGUCGAGCGGUAGAGAGAAGCUUGCUUCUCUUGAGAGCGGCGGACGGGUGAGUAAUGCCUAGGAAUCUGCCUGGUAGUGGGGGAUAACGUUCGGAAACGGACGCUAAUACCGCAUACGUCCUACGGGAGAAAGCAGGGGACCUUCGGGCCUUGCGCUAUCAGAUGAGCCUAGGUCGGAUUAGCUAGUUGGUGAGGUAAUGGCUCACCAAGGCGACGAUCCGUAACUGGUCUGAGAGGAUGAUCAGUCACACUGGAACUGAGACACGGUCCAGACUCCUACGGGAGGCAGCAGUGGGGAAUAUUGGACAAUGGGCGAAAGCCUGAUCCAGCCAUGCCGCGUGUGUGAAGAAGGUCUUCGGAUUGUAAAGCACUUUAAGUUGGGAGGAAGGGCAGUAAAUUAAUACUUUGCUGUUUUGACGUUACCGACAGAAUAAGCACCGGCUAACUCUGUGCCAGCAGCCGCGGUAAUACAGAGGGUGCAAGCGUUAAUCGGAAUUACUGGGCGUAAAGCGCGCGUAGGUGGUUUGUUAAGUUGGAUGUGAAAUCCCCGGGCUCAACCUGGGAACUGCAUUCAAAACUGACUGACUAGAGUAUGGUAGAGGGUGGCGGAAUUUCCUGUGUAGCGCUGAAUGAGUAGAUAUAGGUAAGGACACCACUGGCGAUGGCGACCACCUGGACUAAUCUGACCCUG